UACGGGGGGAGCAAGCGUUGUUCGGAUUUACUGGGCGUAAAGGGCGCGUAGGCGGUCAGCACAAGUCAGUUGUGAAAUCUCCGGGCUUAACCCGGAAAGGUCAACUGAUACUGUGCGACUAGAGUGCGGAAGGGCAACUAGAAUUCUCGGUGUAGCGGUGAAAUGCGUAGAUAUCGAGAGGAACACCUGCGGCGAAGGCGGGUUGCUGGGCCGACACUGACGCUGAUGCGCGAAAGCCAGGGGAGCGAACGGG
rnacentral:rRNA from 1 species